CCGACCUUAGCUCAGUUGGUAGAGCGGAGGACUGUAGUGAGGUCACUCAAAGUAAUCCUUAGGUCGCUGGUUCGAAUCCGGCAGGUCGGA
rfam:Gossypium arboreum cultivar AKA8401 contig_25790_3, whole genome shotgun sequence.